GACGAACCGUGCGAACGUUAUUCGGAAUCACUGGGCUUAAAGGGCGCGUAGGCGGGCAUCCAAGUCAGGGGUGAAAGCCCACGGCUCAACCGUGGAAGUGCCUUUGAUACUGGGUGCCUCGAGGGGUGCAGGGGCGUGCGGAACUUCGGGUGGAGCGGUGAAAUGCGUAGAUAUCCGAAGGAACACCGGUGGCGAAAGCGGCGCGCUGGACACCUACUGACGCUGAGGCGCGAAAGCCAGGGGAGCGAACGGG
rnacentral:rRNA from 2 species